rnacentral:lncRNA from 1 species
AUGCUAACAUGUGUGCCUGCAUGCCAGCUAUGCUGGGGGCAAACAUGGCUAUCCACCAAAUGCAGGAGGAAAAGCCUCUUUCUCCCUAGACUUCCAGGCUCUUCUGACCCUCCCCUUUCCUUCUCACCUCCAGAUCCCACUUCUUCAUGUGGGUCCUUCAGCUCUGUGAUCUCCCUGCUGAACAGCUGUCAAUCCCAGGCCAGUGACAGAGGAAGCCCGGAGAGGAGACUUCACAGCAGUCUGCCCUCAGGAAAUGCAAUUGGUGCAAAUGGUAGACAUCUGAUUCACCUGCCACACUAAUUCCUGACACGCACCCUAUACCAGCUGCUCUCCGCUGACUUUGGUAAGUGCUCUGAUGAGCUUUGUUUACCCAGGCUUGAGAAGGAGAUGUAUAAAUACAAAUGACUGCAUAACCACAUUUUAGAUAGGACAUCCUUAAAACGCUCAUCGGUAAUGUUUUAGAAACUCUUAUGGCUGUAGACCAAUCUUUUUGAAAACAAAAUUGUUUCAAGUUUUGGGGAGGCAUUUAAAAUAAAGAAAAAGAAAAACUAAGCAAGAUGAAGUAGACAAAUUAAAGCAAGAGAUAUUUUGCCUGCCUUUUUCAUUUUUUAAUUUGAGAUGGAGUCUUACUCUGUUGCCCAGGCUGGAGUGCAAUGGCGAGGUCUCAGCUCACUGCAACCUCCACCCCCCAGGUUUAAGUGAUCCUCCUGCCUCAACUUCCCAAGUAACUGGGCGUAUAGGCGCGCGCCACAAUGCCCAGAUAAUUUUUGUAUUUUUAGUAGAGACAAGGUUUCGCCAUGUUGGCCAGACUGGUCUCGAACUCCUGACCUCAGGUGAUCCACCUACCUCGGCCUCCCAAAGUGCUGGGAUUACAGGCAUGAGCCACUGCAUCCAGCCUUGCUUGCCAUUUUUAAAGCUUUUAUUCUACCCGCUUUGUACUGUUUGGACUUCCGUUUACCGUAUGUGUGUGUUGCCAGGUAAAAAAGAACUAUGACUUUUAAAACGAAACCAUAUAUCUUAAUUUUCUUGCUCCAAGUAAAACAGAGCACAUGUGUCAAAAAUGGUCAAGGAGAGGCUGCUAGUGGUGAAACCGAGUCCAGCACUGCCUUGGUGGUGAAUGUUAAAGAUUUCACUGGGGGUCGGCGCGGUAGCUCACGCCUAUAAUCCCAGCACUUUGGGAGGCCGAGGUGGGUGGAUCACAAGGUCAGGAGAUCGAGACCACGGUGAAACCCCGUCUCUACUAAAAAUAAAAAAAAUUAGCCAGGCGCUGUGGCGGGUGCCUGUAGUCCCAGCUAGUCGGGAGGCUGAGGCAGGAGAAUGGUGUGGACCCAGGAGGCGGAGCUUGCAGUGAGCCGAGAUCGCGCCACUGCACUCCAGCCUGGGGCACAGAGCCAGACUCCGUCUCAAAAAAAAAAAAAAAAAAAAAAAAGAUUUCACUGGAAACCUUGUUGGGGAUACUUUGUCCCCUGCCCCCAACCCCAGCCUCUCCCAGGCACACCCCAACCUUCCCAGUCUCCAGCCCAGAUCUUCCUGCUCUCAGCUGUCAACUAAUCCCUGCUAAGGUGGUCCAUUUUUAUUUAUGUUUAUAUUUUAUUAAUUGUAUAUUUUUAUUUUUUAUUCUUUUUUUUCAAGACAAGGUCUUGCCCUGUUGCUCAGACUGGGGUGCAGUGGCAUGAUUAUAGCUCACUGCAGCCUUGAUCUCCUGGGCUCAAGUGAUCCUCCUGCUUCAGCCUUCUGAGUAGUUGGGACUACAGGUAUGCACCACGACGCUCAGCUAAUUUUUAAGUUUUUAGUGGAGAUGGGGGUCUCGCUAUUUUGCUCAGGCUGGACUCAAACUCCUGGCACCAAGUGAUCCUCCCACCUUGGCCUCCCAAGGUGCUGGCAUCACAGGUGUGAAUCACCGCAAUUGGCCUAAUUUUUAAAAUCUAUAAAUGUAUGUUUAAAGCAAUGGUUAACCCGCGAGCCCUCUUUAAGUGAAUAUAACAAGGGGAAGCCCCGGUUGAUGCAGGGAUUCAAGCCCCUCCUUAGCCUCCUUUGGUGUGAAUCAGAGGCUAGCAGAGAGGGCGAGUCA